rnacentral:rRNA from 1 species
GACGAACGCUGGCGGCGUGCCUAAUACAUGCAAGUUGAGCGCUGAAGGUUGGUACUUGUACCUACUGGAUGAGCAGCGAACGGGUGAGUAACGCGUGGGGAACCUGCCUUUGAGCGGGGGACAACAUUUGGAAACGAAUGCUAAUACCGCAUAAAAACUUUAACCACAAGUUUUAAGAUUGAAAGAUGCAAUUGCAUCACUCAAAGAUGAUCCCGCGUUGUAUUAGCUAGUUGGUGAGGUAAAGGCUUACCAAGGCGAUGGUACAUAACCGACCAUAGAGGGUUGACGGCCACAAUUGGACUUGGGCACCGCCCAAGCUCCUACGGGGGGCAGCAGUAGGGAAACUUCGGCAAAUGACGGAAGGCUGGCCGGGCAACGCCCCGGGGAUUAAUAAAGUUUUCGGAACGGUAAACUCUGUUUGUAAGGAAGAACGAAAUUUGGAGUGAAAAGCUCAUCUAUUGACGGUAACUACCCAGAAAGAGACGGCUAACUACGUG